GAUUAUGGCUCAGGAUGAACGCUAGCGGCAGGCUUAACACAUGCAAGUCGAGGGGCAGCGGGAUGUAGCAAUACAUUGCCGGCGACCGGCGGAUGGGUGCGUAACGCGUAUGCAACCUACCUUAUACAGGGGAAUAACCUUUCGAAAGGGAGACUAACACCCCAUAGUAUUGAUUUAAGGCAUCUUAGAUUAAUUAAAUAUUUAUAGGUAUAAGAUGGGCAUGCGUAUGAUUAGCUAGUUGGUAAGGUAACGGCUUACCAAGGCGACGAUCAUUAGGGGUUCUGAGAGGAAGGUCCCCCACACUGGUACUGAGACACGGACCAGACUCCUACGGGAGGCAGCAGUGAGGAAUAUUGGUCAAUGGGCGCAAGCCUGAACCAGCCAUGCCGCGUGCAGGAAAGACGGCCUUAUGGGUUGUAAACUGCUUUUACAUAAGACUAACCGUAUAUUUGCGAAUAUACCUGAAUGUAUUAUGAGAAUAAGGAUCGGCUAACUCCGUGCCAGCAGCCGC
rnacentral:rRNA from 1 species